CCUGAACUGCUUAGGCUGGGUCCAAGGGGUAUGCAAGCCCAGCAAGCGAAGUGUGGCCCUCGAGUCCUUUAGGCUAUGCAGACGCUUGUCCGUCUUUUCUGAAAACAGCCUCUGCCCCUCGAAGGGGAGGUUUUGAAUGGUCUGCUGGACCU